AUUUAUCCUUAAUAUUAUUUACAGAAAUUAUGUUAGAUAUAAUAUUUAUUAUCCCUGACACAUCUCAUGGGUGAUACUCUGUUUAUUCGACAGUCGAGGAAGAAUGUUGCGUUUAGGAAAAUACAAUCUAAAGCUUAUAACUUUCUGGAGAGACCAAACAGUAGAUAUGAGAUCCUGUAUCACGUGCUCGUGUUCUGCCUCGUGUUCGUGUGUAUCGCCCUCUCCGUGUUCUCUACGAUCAAGGAGCAUGAGGUUGAGGCGGGGGAGAUCUUGUUCCGUCUCGAGAUAGUUAUCGUGAUCUGGUUUAGUAUCGAGUUCACUGUUAGACUCUGGUCGGCAGGAUGCAGGUCCAGGUACCAGGGAUUGUUAGGAAGACUGAAGUUUAUCAAAUGUCCAUUUUGUAUCAUAGACAUAGUUACAAUAUGCGCUUCUAUUGUAGUCCUAUCCGGGCUUGGAGGUCAGGUUUACGCAGCCUCUGCGCUUCGAGGUCUCCGGUUCUUCCAGAUCCUCCGUCUUGUGCGGAUGGAUCGACGUGGAGGAACCUGGAAACUACUGGGUUCUGUAGUUUAUGCUCACAGACAGGAGCUGCUCACAACCCUCUACAUUGCAUUCUUAAUCCUCAUCUUCUCCUCCUUCGUGAUGUACCUGGCGGAGAAGGAUGUAAAUCUCGAGUUUGAAAGCUUCGCUCAUGCGCUCUGGUGGGGUGUUAUUACUCUCUGUACAGUAGGAUACGGUGAUAUAACUCCUAAAACCUGGCAGGGUAAAAUCAUUGCAAGCUUCUCAGCUAUUGCCGGAAUAUCGUUUUUUGCGCUUCCCGCCGGAAUUCUUGGAUCAGGGUUUGCCUUGAAGGUUCAGCAACAGCAGAGACAGAAACACAUGAUACGUCGGCGGGUUCCCGCCGCUACGCUUAUACAAUGCUUGUGGCGGUGUUACGCCGUGACCGACGGGCAUAGUAGUUCUGCAACCUGGAGGAUUCACAUGGUUCCGCCGAAGUCUCCGCCAUCUUUCAAGAACAACACUUCAUUCGUUCACAGACUUUCAAUCCGUAGAACACGACACUCCUUGAAAUCUCCAGUCUUAGAGCACUUCAGAACCAAGCUGAGAGUAGAGACUGAAACAUGCUUUGACGAGGGACGACAGAGCAGAAAAAAUUCUGAACCCUUUUCUCGAAGGUUCUCCGAUGACGAUGACGAAUGUUUGGCCACUUUACCGUUUCUUCUUACUCACAAGCACAAGGGUGCUAUUAGGGCAAUACGUAAACUCAAAUAUUUAGUCGCCAAACGAAAGUUCAAAGAAGCGCUCAAACCCUACGAUAUCAAGGAUGUGAUAGAAAGCUACUCUGCCGGUCACUCCGACCUGGUGACAAAAGUUAAGAGUGUCCAGAAUCGUCUUGACUUGAUCCUUGGCAAAGAUGGUUCUAAGGCUAAGGAUGUGUACGACUCAAAGACAAGUUUGGCCUCAAGAAUAGUGAAUGUGGAAAGACAGGUGGAUAAUAUUGAUGAGAAGCUCCAAGGAUUCCUUGAAAUGUAUCUAGAGGACAGGAAGAAGAUCCUUCAUCUAGCAGUAUCCAAUCAAUCAUUAAAUACAGAGAACCUUGUCUUGGAAGACGAGCGUGAGUUGAACCUGAGUCCUGGUUCUAGUUCCGUCCUAGACUCUAGCUUGACAAUCUGCUCCACGGUAGGACAAGGGACUAGUGGAGAAGAUCUGGACAAAUCAGAACACCAGGAGAAAAGUCCGCAUCAGCUUCACACUUGCUGGAACCUAAACAAUGCAAUCUUAAAUGAUUAAACGUCAUUAUAAUUGAUUGUUUUAAAUAAACAAUUUAUUCAUAGAUUUCAGGGUACAGCAUCUCUAUCGCGAUAUCUCCAAAUGAUCAACAGAAUAGGAAUAAUAGUUGCUAUCGAGAAAAUCCGCCAGCGUAAAAUAUCAAUUUCCAAUCGCUUAAUUGAAGAAAUCCUUCUCUUUGAUUUGAAGAUCACAUGAAAGAUCCGAUAGCACUGAUAAUCCCUUUCAGCUUUGAUCAAUAGACCAAACUUAAUGCAUGAUUUUAUUAAGUAUUAAAUGUUUGUGCUUGCGUUUAAAGCUUGGAAAAUAUUUUUAAUUACUGCUUCAUUCAUCCAUGGCUUUGUAGUCAAUAUUGAUGUCAUAUAAUGAACUUGACUUGUGAUUUGCUUAACUUCAUUUGAUAGCUUUAAUAACUUAAAAUAAACAUUAUUAUCGUGGGUCCCAAAGUGGUUUCACGUUUUUAAAGCUAUCACUUUAAACUGACCAUAUUAAAUGUUUAUAUUUAUAAUUGUGUGAUGUGACCUGAGCUUAAUGUGCCAAAGAUUGUGACUAUGUGAUGUUUACUAUGUGUGCUUUCAAUGUUUUUCCUGACUAUUCGUGCUAAACUAUUAUUGUUUGAUUUGCACAAGCUUUCUUGGUAAAUUUUUGUACUGUACUGCUGUACUGUGUACACUGUUCAGCAUAUACAAAGUCAAUACAUUUUUUCAGGGGCUCACCUAAUUAAAAAAAGUCCGCUAAUUGUUGCAAAAAUCUUGAAAAAUUUAAUGUGAAUAAAACUAAAAACUGAGUGGGUGAGUCCCAUUGUAUUAUUAUUAUAAACUUGGACCAAAGAAUCAAUCGAUGAAAUAUCAUAUCUGUUAAAUAUAAAACUGAUAAAUUUUAAAAAUGUUCUUGUUGAAUUCUUUUUGUUCCAGCGAAUUUUUAAUCAAUAAUUAAGUUACAAAUAUUGACAGGCAAUAACUUGUUUCUUAGUUUUUAGACGUAAAGGUUUUUGGACUACAACAGUUAGUAGUUACAACAAAAUACUGCUUCAUAAAAAUAAGGUUCCAACAUUUCAAAACUGUAUUCUGCAAAACUUUGCUUUUCAUCAAUGCUAAAUUCGUUUUCUUGGGGGAAAAUGUACGGGAAAACCAACCAAAAUGGACUGUUUUUUGGGAUUAAUCUUCUCUCAAGGUUAGAUUUAGCAAAGUGUAAGGAAAGCAAAUGUUUUAAAAUAAUUACAAUUUUAAGAUUUUGGUGGAACCAUUAAUAAGUCCAAAAACCUUAGAAACGAAUUUAAACUAAACAAACUAUUGCCGAUAUCGUUUUAAGUGCUGAGAACCCAGAACAGUCAUUAUCAGAAUCUGGAUCAGCAUCAAAAUAGAAUGGACACUGAGUAUUUGUUAUACAUGUUCCAGUUUUAAUCUAAUAUAGUCCAUCUUAUUAUCUACAUUUCCCGGUUUGAAAAUGUUCUACUAAAUCUCCAUAAUAUGAUUGGAUACAGAAAGUUCUCGAAUCUAUAAUUUUGGUUGUGUUACAGA
rnacentral:misc_RNA from 1 species